rnacentral:rRNA from 1 species
GAGAGGAGGACCAGACACGAAGGAAGAGAGACUCGGUCCUCUCUCGGGGGGCAGGGAGCAGGGAUAUUUCACAAUGGGCGCAAGCCUUAUUCAACCAUGCCGCGUGUAUGAAGAAGGCCUUCGGGUUGUAAAGUACUUUCAGCGGGGAGGAAGGGAGUAAAGUUAAUACCUUGGCUCAUUGACGUUACCCGCAGAAGAAGCACCGGCUAACUCCGUGCCAGCAGCCGCGGUAAUACGGAGGGUGCAAGCGUUAAUCGGAAUUACUGGGCGUAAAGCGCACGCAAGGCCGGU